rnacentral:rRNA from 1 species
AUGCAGUCGAACGGCAGCACAGAGGAGCUUGCUCCUUGGGUGGCGAGUGGCGGACGGGUGAGUAAUGCAUCGGGAUCUACCCUGACGUGGGGGAUAACCUCGGGAAACCGGGACUAAUACCGCAUACGUCCUACGGGAGAAAGCGGGGGACCUUUUAGGCCUCGCGCGGCAGGACGAACCGAUGUGCGAUUAGCUAGUUGGCGGGGUAAUGGCCCACCAAGGCRACGAUCGCUAGCUGGUCUGAGAGGAUGAUCASCCACACUGGGACUGAGACACGGCCCASACUCCUACGGGAGGCAGCAGUGGGGAAUAUUGGACAAUGGGCGCAAGCCUGAUCCAGCAAUGCCGCGUGUGUGAAGAAGGCCUUCGGGUUGUAAAGCACUUUUAUCAGGAGCGAAAUCUGCAUGCUUAAUACGUGUGCAGWCUGACGGUACCUGAGGAAUAAGCACCGGCUAACUUCRUGCCAGCAGCCGCGGUAAUACGAAGGGUGCAAGCGUUAAUCGGAAUUACUGGGCGUAAAGGGUGCSUANGCGGUUCGUUWANUCUGUCNUGAAAUCCCCGGGCUCAACCUGGGAAUGGCGAUGGAUACUGG